rnacentral:rRNA from 1 species
UACAGAGGGUGCAAGCGUUAAUCGGAAUUACUGGGCGUAAAGCGCGCGUAGGUGGUUCGUUAAGUUGGAUGUGAAAUCCCCGGGGCUCAACCUGGGAACUGCAUUCAAAACUGGACAAGCUAGAGUAUGGUAGAGGGUGGUGGAAUUUCCUGUGUAGCGGUGAAAUGCGUAGAUAUAGGAAGAACACCAGUGGCGAAGGCGACCACCUGGACUGACUACGUGCACUGAGGUGCGAAAGCGUGGGGAGCAAACAG